UUUUAAAAAAAAAGAAAAAAGAAAGUGAUCACUUUCUCCACAUUCAAUUCUCACUACCGUUGCUCUUUAAUUUUAUCAGACAUUAUCGAGGAAAUUUCUGGCUGAUUUCUGGGUCAGUGGCACAGCAGAUCAAUUGGAUGGUCAGUCCACGUCCUGUCUCCAAAGGCCCAGUUCCAGAGCCCCUUGUGUCUUUGGACAUUUUCCUCAAGUAGCGCUAGCUGCAAUGGUUACAUUGCCCAUGAAGGACCUACCUCAGCUCUGUCUGCCGCUCCUUGAAGGUCCCAUGUGCAAUAUGCAGUGUUCAUGGCUUCCUACCUGGAGAAAGUUAAGUUUUAUUGUGUUCAAGGAGGUUGAGAGUAUAUAUUUGAUGUCCCAAGAUUGAGGAAGUGGUCCAGCAGGAAGACUGCAUUGAGUUACCAACUUGGGUGAAAAAGAUCAAGGUGAAGAUUUUAUUCCACAAAGUAUAAGGGGCCAGUAGGUCUUUACAGAAAUAGGCUCAGGCCCAAGUAUGGUGGAUUAAGACUGACCUGAGAGAACACGAUAUCAGCACAUCCAUUGAUGGGAAGGAAGGACGUUGACCCAAUAGGCCAUUGGCUUUGUGGAACAACAGUCUUGAAAACCCUUGGAGAAGAUAGGUGCAGCCAACUCUGGAGGACUGCCUGAAAGGGAGCAGAGCCUGUAGAGGAGGCAUGGAGCCUCUGGAUGAAGGGCCGGUGCAACAUUCAGAGUUCAGUAUUGAUCGUGUUUGUGAUUUAAACACUCAGAGACCAAGGAAUUGACCACUUUGAUGUGGAUUGAUGGUUUCCUGAUGCUUUAUGACAGGUGUGGCCCAGGGACCUCUCCCCCAAGCCUGGGAGAAUCAUCCUCUGCUGUUAAACAGCUCAAUCAUUUCUCAUCCCUGGCAUCCUCACUGGUCCAUUGGCUCCUCCCUUCCUCCCCUCUUACCUACAAGUGCUGACCCUUCCUGGGCUGCUGCCAAACAUGACCCUGGAUACUGUGAGUCUCAGGCUGCUGGGCUACCAGGAUCAGAAUCAAGAAGGGAAAAGGAUCAAAAUUUAUAGAGUAUCUUUUAGAGUACUAGCAUGGUCAUUUCAUUACCAACUUUGCAAAAUAGGUAUCAUUGAUCCCAUUUUAUAGACGAAUAAGUUGAGUCUGAUGGAUAACUUGCUAUGUGAGGGACCCAAGCCUGCUAAUUCUACACUUUUGCACACUCUCACUUUAUUGCCUACAGAAGAGCUCAGAAGGAGAGGGAGGGAGAGGGGGACGGGAAGUAGAACUGUCCCUGGGGUAGAAAUAAAUUGGAGUGCUGGACAUGUGCAUUAGGAGCCUACUAGGCUGUAUUGCAGAUGACUCAGUAUGCAAUGGGCAGGAAGGAGGGGUGAAGAGAGGAGUAGGCAGUUUUCUCCAAAGCUGCUUUACAACAACAUCCCUGAGUGUGAACAUAAGUGAGUCUACAUGUCUAUCUCUGCCUCUUCUACACAUACCUUUGCAGGUUGCUGUGUGGAGUUUUUUGGUGCCUUCUUUUCUAAUUUAACUUGAUUUCCUUGAGGAUGGCAGAGCUGGACAUGUUCAGGAAACCUCAGAAAAAGAGCUGUAUGUCACUAAGUCAGGAAGAGGGCCCAGAGGUCAGGGUUUCUCAUCUGGGGCCAUCAAUACCGGCCUCCUUCUAGCUCUGUCAGACACUUGGCCCCUUCUGGGUACUCUGGCAGAGUUUGGUACCAUUCUCUCACACUGAAGAGAGACCCUCAUAGGUAGAGGCAUUGCAAGCUGCAGGCUGUGGCUCACAUUGCAAUGUAGCUGUAUCAGCCAUGAUUUUUAGUUACAGGCAUCAGCCAACUCUGGCUGACUGAAGCCGAAGAGAGUUUGAUGCAAAGAACACUGGGUGGCUGGAGAAUCAGUAGGAAUGCUGACAGUAAGGCUGGAGAAUAAGCAGCCUGGAGCAGCACCGAGAAUCACAUGGUGGAAGGAGUCUGGAGAAACUUCUACUGCUUCAGCCAUUGAAUGUUGGGCACUAUCAUUGGCAUCACAGUCACCUCUGUGCACAAACUUGAACCUGCAGUAGGGAGAGAGAGAACUCCACCCUUCCUGUGUCUAGCUCCAGAGUCAAAACCCAGGGUGGCACAUGGUGGAUGGAUCCUGUGUACAGCCUGUGCCUGGCUGCAAAGGCUGCUGGGAAAGCCAGUUGCUGCAUUUUUGGCAUCUACAGUGGGAAGCAGCCACUGAAGACAAUGAAGACUCAUGAAGUGGGAACUUCUCAAUGAAAAAGGAGUUCAAAUAUUGGGUGGCCAAAUAAAAUGAUAAAUAUUCACUAUCAUUGCCUUAGUUGAGAAUCGAGAAGCUGGGGGCAGUGUGAGGGUACUGAUGGCAACAUUCUCUAACAGGUAUUGAGUGAUUAUUCUCUGGGCUAACUAUUCUAAAUGCAGUAUCUCAUUUAAUCCUUCCGACAAAUCUCCCAGGCAAUUACUAAUAUUGUACCUAUUUUCCAAAGGAGACAACUGGAUUGUAGACAUGACUGUGGCACAUACCUAGUAGGUGUCUGAGCUGAGGUUCUGGCGUAGGCAGUCUGUCUUCUGAGACUGUGCUCACAUUUUCAUGAUUGAGGGCUGGUGAGGAACUCUAGGGGUAUUUCUUUAAGUUAAAGCAUUAAAACCAGCUGUCCCUAGUGCUCAUCAUUCCAAUUAUGCCACAUUAACUCCAGUCUUUUAAAAAUCCCGUCUCAAGGUACUUCUAGGAGUCUCCAAGAUGGCUUGUGUGAACACGUGUCAGACCAGGUUAUUGGAGGCCACCGUGCUGUCACCUUCCUCUGCCAAGUCCAGGCCCACUGUGGGGACCGCUGUCCAGGCUUAGAAACUCCGGUAUGAACACUGGUGGGCGGGCACUCUCCCGUAGCUGCCCUUGGCCACAAUGGAGAUCUCCCCUGGCCCUCUCCCAGACUGAGUCACCUGUACUACACAGUUUGCCCUGUUUGACACAACUGCCAGCCAAACCUGAGAUCCUCCUGGGUCACUGGCCAUGCCCAGGAGAGGCCUCGAGGAGCCAAUCUUUGCAGCCCAGCCACAGAUGCUCUUGGCCAUCAAGGAGCUUUACUGAGCCCUGUCAGGGGACAGGAGGAUUCACUUCCCUCAGCUCCCCUCUGUGAGACACCUAUAGUAAGGCUACAGAUUUCAAAGGGACGCCAAAUUUGGUUGUUUCCACCAGCGAAACCCAUUUUUGCCCUAGGGCCCACAUAGAUCAUCAGCAUAGUGAUGUCAGCAGCACCCUUCAGGCCCAGGGGCAGAAAACUGCUGGUUGUGACAUCCUUCCUCUUCUCCUCCCCUUUAAAGACCCUGCCUUCCUUUUUCAUAAUUGGCUCAAAUCACUCUCCUCCCACUCUGAUCUCACAUUCAUUAAUUCAUCUGGUCAACAUCAAAUAUUCAUUAUGCACCAAUUAUCUGUAAAACGGGGAUAGGAAUAAUGAUAUUUCAUUGUCUUGGUUUCGGUCUUCGUGCAAGCAGACUUGAGACAAGGGCUUGGUUGCAGGCUUUUUAUUCGGGAGGUGAUCCCAGGAAGCAGGAGUGAGGGAGCAGGAAGAUUGAGCAGGGAAGGAGGAAAACAGUAACCUAAGGGUGUGCUAUUGGUUACUGCUGCUGGCAGUGGGAGCCCAAGUGCAUUGGCACAUCUGAGAAGCACACAGAAGCAUCCCAGGAUUGUCCUCCUGAAGGAAGGGAGGCAAGAGCAUUUAUCCAUAGCUCCUAGCCCCCUUGGUAGAUAGUUGCCUUGGGACAGGGAGUGAGAGGUUGGGGGUUACCUGCCCUGACCUUUAGAGGGCUGAGCUGAUUUCUGCAGCUUUAGCAAGUCUUUAAGGCAGAGAGGAGCAAGCCAUGGGCACAUGCCUAAGUGGCACUGUCCAAGGAAGAAGCUCCUCCUUGCAGUUGGACUGAAGUCAAGAGUGGGAUGAGGGGCCGUGAUACAGCACGGAAAACAUACACUACACUUUCUCAUGAAGUAGUUACCAUUAACUGAGUUAAUUUAUGUAAAACACCUAGAACAAUACCUGCCCCCAAUAAGGCUAUAUGUGUGUGUUUGCUGCUAUUAUUUGUGUGACUAUUACAUGUGCCUGGUGCUUCUCCAGGCUCUGUAGGUAACACUCUCAUGAGACUUACUUUCAGCUCACAAAACAUGCCUUGUUUAUGUGUCAAAGCUCUGAUUCUUGAUACUGUCCAAGUUCUUUUGCCAGGAGAUUCUCAGCCCCCAUGUUUGGGGAUGGCCAGGGGACAUGGCCCCACUUGACUGCCUGCCUUGCCAGUAUCUCUGAUCCAUUUUGGAGGCCUGCCCUGCCAUGCUCUGCUUCCCAGGAUCCUGAACAAGGAUUUGAGAACUAAGGUUUGAAUUCUGCAUAUGAAACAGUCAAACUCAAGUUGUCCAUCUGCUGGGAAAAGAAAAUAGCUUCAGAGCAAAGUCACUUGCCUUUUAAUAAUUGAUGGAUAAAAGAUUGCAGCAUGUGCAAAAACACACUUUCCAGAUCUGCCACUAAGAACGGUUCGGGCAGAAGAAACUGCUCUUUCCAUUGCCCCAGAGGCCAGGCCUGCCCUCAGCUAAUCUGGUGACCUAAUCCUUUCACAUGGGGGAGGACCAGAGCAUUUGCAUACAAGCAAUGAAUGCAUCUUUCCACCAGAGGCUUCCAGAGGCAAGUCCAAUCUAGUUAGUGCUUAUCUGUCCAAGCUGGCUGACCUUCUCCCAGUGCACAGUCCAGUCCCAAGUCCUCCCACCCCUGCCUUGUUCCCAGAACGAGUCUUGACUAUUCUAGCCUCAUACCUCGUCCCUAAGUUGCAACACUUGAUAUGGCUCCUUGAGGACUGCCUUGGCCAUCUCCUUGUUGCCGCUCCCACUGACUGCUUGGGUUUCAGCAGUUCACGGCUUCACGAGGCAACCCCUCCCUCUUGGUUCUAUGAUAACAUAACCGGUCACAGGCCUUUUGCCCAGCCCAGGCACUGAGGGACUGGGACCUGCCCUGGCCCCAUCUUGGCUUUCACAAAUGGGAGCUGGUGAGGUCUCACCCAGGUGAAACCCGGAAUUCACUUUCCUUUCAAAUGUUAAUAUGUUGCUGUGAAAACAUGCCUUUAUCAGUCCAGAAUCCUGUGUCUGUAAUCUCAAUAUCUAAAAGCUCUGAAAGCCAAAAGUUGGUUAUAAUCUGCAUGGUAGCAAAAUCUAACAGGGUUAAUUUCAUUUUCCAGAAUUAUCUGACCUGCACUAAGUGGAGGCUAUCUAUUGCCUUUAUUGAUCUCAUUUGGUGUGAAUACGCAUACAUGCUGCUGGAGAAAUAUUAAUGUCAUUGAUUACGAGGUGUCCCAGAGCUCACUGGGGUGUUGAUGUAUGAAGUGGUAUGUGCACCAAACUGCCUUUCUAAAAUACAUUCUGAAUUCUGAAACAUACCUGGCCCCAAGAUUUUGGAUGAGGAAUUUAGGCCUGUAUUAAAAUUAACCCAGGGAGGGUUAGGGCCUGGGAGAAGUGACCAUGAGUGGCCAUUGUUAUCUAAAGCUAAUGCAGGGAGCCAGGGGCAGCAGUGGCCUGAGUUAAAUAUCACUGGAUCCUUUAGUAUAAUUACAGAGUCAGGACUUAAGGAGAGUCAUUGACAUCCCUUUCAUCAAAAAGAAAAGAAAGAAUUGCUCCCUGUAAUCCAUACCCAUUAAUUCAGCAUCUCCCCUAGAUAGCUGAAACCCCUUCAGAAAGACUGGAAUAUUUUCUAGAUAAUAAAUCUGGGUCUUUAUCUUUCCCUUUUCUUCUUUCCCCUCUUCCCUUUGCCCCAUCCCUGAACUUCCCCCUCUUCUUGUGUUUUUGUCCAUAAAAGAGCAGCUUCUGUCAUUCAUGUGACAAUGAGCCUCCUUAGGUAAUUAAAGGGGAGUCUGCAGCCUGAACUACAAGUGAGAGGUCAUCUUUUUCAGCUUAUAGUCCUACCUCUACUGGGAGUGUGAUUCUGGGGACAAGAAGGAAGAAACGGUGCCAAAGCGCAUGGAUGGCCAAUUGUGCGCCUGGCUCUUCCAUGUGGAGUAGGCAGUGGGGCUGCUUGGAGCACACUUAGUGUUUGCCCUCCAGAUUUUUCCAGUCUCCUCAUAGAUGACCCAUGCCUGAUCUAGAAUAGGGAGGCAGGGUUUUAGAUUUAACUAGAAGUCUUCAUUUGUAUUCUUCCCAGAAGCAGACCCUGAGAUGAGGGUUCUGGGAAAUAAGGAGAACAGCAGUUGGGAAGAGGAGAACAAAGCCAGGGGAUGACUAGAGCUUAAUCCUUUGGGGAAACUCUGGGUAACAGCACAGAACACACCUCAGAGUUAUCUUCCUAAGGUGCCAGAUGAGGGAGUUGAGGUAUUUAUACACCCUCUCCUGAGACUCAUGGGUUGAGGGCUGCUGGAGGCUGCGAUGACAAUGCCCUGACACAUGGGCCUGCUUCCUGGGGGCAAAAGCCUCAGGCACAGACAUACAUACACUGGGGUUUGAAGUUGAUUGUUACAUACUGUAAUAGUAACAUCCAAGCAAUACUAGCAGGGCACUGACAGCAUCUAAUACAGUUUUUUUUUUUUUCACUAAAAUGCAAAGGAAUGUUUGCAUUUCUUUAUCAGAAGAAGGAAAAGAAUGCCAGUCUUCCCAUUUUGAUGGUUGUGCCCACAAGAACCAGCAGAGCCUGGAAGGACAAUAUGCUUGGUAGUGGGAUCAUUUGGGGCUAGUGAGGGGGCAGGGUCUCGGGAAAAAGGGCACGGUGCCUGGUGAAGGGAGUCAUUCUGGGGGUGCUGCAGUGAUGAUGCUAGUGGCAGCUGUGCCCUUGGCAAUGGGAGUGGGGGUCUGCUACUGCAGUGAACCCUGAAAGCAGUAGGGAGGUGCUUCUUUAUAUCCCUUAGAGACUUCAGCAAAAAAUAUCCUUGAAUAAGGCUAGGGUAGGCAAGGGAAAAAUGGCAGGCACAGCAGUGGACUCAGCUUGAUUGUGAAGCCCUUUCUUAGGCUCUGUAUGGGGCUGGAAAUACCACAUGUGUCCUGUUUGGUGGGGAGGGGUCCUGUUGGGUGGAUAAGUGAUGCUCAGAGCAUUUCUAGGGCAGGAGUUGUCAAACUUUUUCCUGCUAAAUAUUAUAGGCUUUAGGGGUACUACUGUCUCUGUUGUAACUACUCAGCUUCCCUAUUGUAUAUCAAGAAAUGGUCACAGACAAUAUGUAAGGAAUGCGUAUGGCUGUGUUCCAUCACAACUUUAUUUAUGGAUGCUGAAAUCAGAAUUUUAUAUAAUUUUCAUGUGUCACAAAUUUUUUUUUCUGAUUUUGUCCAUUCAUUAAAAAAUGCAAAACCUAUUUUUACCUUGUGAGCCACACUGAAACAGGCUGUAGGCUGAAUUGGGCCCGUGAACUGUAUUUGCAGACCCUUGUUCUAGGGCUUCUCUCUGACUUGGGCUCCAGGGUUAAGGGCAGAUUUCCAACCGAUUCUUGACAGCGUAGGAGGGGCAAACCUCCUCCUCACUCCAGUGAGAUAAGUGACUCAUCCAAUAAUGGCAAAGACUCAAAAGCAAGGAGAUAGAACCUCAUGUAUGCGUGGACAUUUAACUGGCUCCGGUGAAGGCUUGAAGCCCUAUUUGCUAAGCUUCUGCUCAUUUGCUGCUCCAGAAAGUGACAGCCUGCAUGACCAGUCCACAGCCUGUUACUUUGGGGAUUUUACAGGGUUCAUAGAGUAAAGAGGAGACUUUGGGUAAAUACAGAUCAAAUAUUUGGGUGACACUGGUAGAGUGAAAAGGUAGACUUUUAAGCCACAUCGCCUUGCACGCAGCUUCCAGCUCUGCCAUUUACAGCCUAGUAAUCUGAAUCAAGACACUUAAUUACUCUGGGUCUCAGUUUCCUCAUCCAUAAAAUGAGGAGCAAUAAUAACCCCCCUUUUAGGCUUAUUAUGAGGAUAAAGUAAGACAAUACGUGAAAUGACCUUGGAUCAAGCUCAGCUUGGCAUCUCAUCUUUACUUAAUGGAUGGUUUUAAAAUUAUUUUUAAUGCCAACUUCACAAAGUUGUGAUAGAAAUUAAAUGAGAUAAAUGUGUAAAGGGCUCAGGGACAUAGUAUGUGUUAAGAAAAUUAUUGCUACUAUUAAAAAUAUGAUGGAGAAAAAAAGGUUAGGUAUUUCUCCAUCUUCUCUUUGGGAUGAUGGCUCUCAAGAGGUGGGAAGAGGAGGACAAUGGCACCUGCAUAAUUUUGAUUGCAGGAUAUUUGUAUUCUUUCCCUUUCUGAAGUUCCUGAAUAGCAAAUGUUUUUGACAGCAAUUGGGUCUGGAUGCCACGUUUUGAAGCCCAACUAACAAACAAGAGAUUAUGAGACUGCAGUUAUCUUUUACCAGCUGCGUGGAAAAAUCCUGUCAUUUGGCAUCACACAACUAUGAAUUCUUUUAUCUCUUUCUCCCUUCUUAUGUGCUCCUGGAGCAUAUGUAAGCAAGCUCUGACAUUGAUAACACAUUCUUAUUAACCAUUAUCUGAAAGAUGGGAUGCCAACUUAGGAGUUUUGCAUUGCAUAUCAGAUGGAAAUUUCCAUUGGGGAAUGGAAUGUUAUCCACUCCUGGCCAAUGACAUCCCAAGGCUGAAGUUACCUUCUACAUACACCAUAGUCUGAGGUCAUGAAUUGGCUAGAUUUCUGCCCAAAUCUUUGCCUACUCCUUCAGAAGGAAAUGGAAUAUGAGGCAACUAUGGGCACUUAGAGGGAACAGAAAGUUGAUUUUCUGUCAUAUAAACGUUAGCUUCUUAGGCAGUGUAGAUGGAGCAGGUGACUGGAGCCAGAGGGAUGGGGUUGUGCUUGUAGAAAGGCCAAAUGAACAGGCUGAGUGGAGACCCUGUGGGGGCCCCUGAGAUGCACCCUUUAAUAUUCAUCCCACUCCAUGUGGUCAGUCUAAGCACAUCAUGUAAUUCCCAUUUUCCUUGACAGAAAUUGGUUAAGUAAAGGGCAUGUUAUCCACUCCUGGCCAAUGAGAUGAGGAAAAGCCUACAGUACGUGUGUGUGUGUUGGUUGGGGGGCAGUCUGGGGAAAGUUUAUCUUCUGUGAAGAAGGAACUCAGAGAGAGAGUGCCUUUUCGCCCUGUGGACUUUGCCAUGAGCGCCUGGUGCUAAGGUGUCAUCCUGCUAUCAUCCCUCUGAGAGACCAGCAUCAAGUAUUCCUGAAAGGCAAGAGGGAUGGUUCCUGGAUCCCUAAGGACAGCAUUGCCUGGCAGCUGAUCUCUACUUGCCUUCAAAUUAUAAUAUCUCUGUGCUUGCUCAUUGUUGAAGUCAGUUUGAGUUGGAACUCUGUUCCUUGUAACCAGAAGGAUCCUAUCUGGGGGCCACAUUUUUGACAUUGGAAUAUCACCAAGGUGAGAAAUAAGGGAAGGGUGUGCACUAGGCAUUUAGAAGAGGGGAGCGGCUGGGCACUUUUAAUGGGUUAGUGUGAAACAUACCUUGUACUCUAUCUGGAGCAUCCUAUAUUAAUUAACUAACUUAUUAAUGAGCCUGUAUAAGGCACCUACUACAUGGUCAGCAUAGGGACAGGUCUUUCUGAGAAUAAAAGAGUCAUAUAAAACAUCAUUCUAGUUGUCAAGCAUCAUAAAAUUUAGUUGGUGGAGACAAGACUAGAAAUAAAACAAAAUAAGUGGUUUAGAGAAGGGCGUGAUGAGUGAGUGCUAGAGUAGGUAAAAGCUUCGUGGGAGAUGGAGAAAGCUAAGCUGGGCCUUAAUCAGCAGAAAGAAUAAAGGUGAGGACAUAGAGACGUUAAGUCACAUGCUCCAACACAGCCAGAAAGUGGCAGAGCUGGGGUUCAAACCCAGUAUGUCUGACUCCUUCCAACCCUGGGCAUGUAACUACUAUGCUGGAGCAUACUUAUGCUCCCAAUGUGUAUUUGUAAGCCUGGAAUGCUCAUAUAUUAAUUUAUAAUGAGAAAUAGAACUGGAAAACAUUAUGAAUUCAAAAUCUGUGAAGCCAAGUUAUAUUCAGAAGGUUCCCAAGGCAGCUUGAAGCUGAUUAACAGACAGGAUAUCCCUGACACCAGGAUGGAGGCAUGUGUCUUGAAGGGCUAGUCCUUCUCUUCCUGGCUAGGUACUGGUAAGAGAAUGGCCAGUUUUGGAGUCUUGGGGCUCCCAUUUAAAUGCUCCAGGCUGUUCCUAAAGUCCUUCUUCAGUCAUGGUGUAAGUCAACUGGUCAGGCCUCUAGGUGUUCAUUAUGUUCACAUUUAAUUCAGUGGUGUACUAGCAAGUGUUUAACAAAUGGCUCUCUGGGGCACUGGGGGAAGCCCUAAUUUGUAACAUUCACCAAGUCAAGUUCCAUGGUGUAAAUACUCCCUCCAAGACUAUUUCAAGCUACCAGCAGGAAGAGAUGCACACAAUCAAUGGCUCUUGAGUGCUGGUACCGGCAGGCUCCAGCACACCACUGUGCUCACAUUGCAUCCUGCCUCUCAGAGCCUUCCCAGAUGCCUUGAUGGGAAUUAUGGAAUGUUCUCAGACUUUUGUAGAACAUUUACCAAAUUAGUCACAGCCAUGUGUGUGAACUUUUUCAGUUUAAUUAUUGGAAAAUGGCCUCACUUCCAAAUUCUUGGAGAACACUGUUUUUACCUUCAUGUACCGUCAACUAAUAGAGCUGUAAGGUGGCCAAAGAAACCAAAGAUGGAUUUCCUUUCUGUAUUGCCUAAAGUCCAGAGUUCUGUUAAAAAUUACUGUCAAGAGUGAGGCUUGGGGUCUGUGCUGCACUGAGUAAUACCAUGGGUAGCAAUAGAUAAAUUGGCACAGAAGAAUCUUCUACAGCACCACCGCCAUUCACCCCCUGCCUCACUUUGCUGUCUUACCCAACAUUACAUGACAGAAAAAAGAAAUUGUGUUGCCUAGUAACAGCUCUGAGCAAGGGGAGACCAGUCAAUACAAUUCUGAAUUAAGGCAACAUCCACAAAAAAAUCCAUCUUGAGGAUUUAUACGAAAACCAAAGUGUAGUUAUAGUCUUACAAGCUGGUGGAGAAGUCCCAUUAGCUUUGGGUAUUGGAUUAUUUAGAAUAAUAUAUCUGAGAUAUAGAUUUCUUUUUCUGGGAAGAAUAAUCUACUCUGAGGCCAUGAAAAUCAAUAGGCCACUUUGAAGACUGACUUCAGCUGUUAUUGGUAAUGUUUUGGUUGUGUUUGUGAAUCAACAAUCAAGCAAAAAUAAGGCCAUUUAGUAGCUCACACUAAAGAGCACUACUUGUCAAUUUUGCAACGAAGCCUCUCCAUCCAUUGAAUGAAACAGCAUCUCCCAAGGGCUGCUGUGAGCCUAUGGAGACCCUGAAAGCUGACACCAGCACAAAGAAUUAAGGAUAAGUCUUCCAGGGUGGCCAGUCAUCCCAGCAUAUUGAGACUGAGGAGUUUCCCAGGAUGCUGGACUUUUAAUGCUAAAACUAGGAAACUCCUUGGCAAACUGGGACAGUUGGUCGCCCUGGAUCAGUGGUUCUCAACUGCAGAUGAUUUUGCCCCUCAGGUAGGGUUGCCAGAUAAAACAGAAGAUACUCUGUUAAGUUUGAUUUUCAGAUAGACAAUGAAUAAUUUUUCAGUAUAAGUAUGUCCCAACUACUACAAUGGGACACAUUUAGAGUUAAAAAGAAUUAUUCUUUGCUUGUCUAAAAUUCGAAUUUAACUAGGCUUUUAACAUUUUUUAAAAAAUUUUUUUUGUAAAACUGACAGUCUUACCCCCAGGAGAUAGUUGGUAAUGAUUGGAAGCCUCUUCGGUUUUCACAACCACAACUUCAUCAGGGAUGCUACUAGCAUCUAGUGAGUAGAGGCCAGGCAUGCUGCUAAACUUCCUAUAAGGCACCAAUGCAGACAACAGCUGCCUAAAACAAAGAAUUAUCUGGCCUGAAAUGUCAGUGGUGCAGAGGUUGGGAAAUCCUGCCGUAGACCUAAACAAGCUGGUGCCACGGAGCUCCAUCUUCCUUGAGAAAACACUAAAGGAUGGACGUGGGCUUCCCUGCUUCAUGCACACAGAUGGAAAAAUGUCACAUACAUUCCUGACCUUUAACACUUUCAGUCUGAUGCGUCAAACAGCCAUUGGGAGCUUAAGAAGUGUCUAGCAAAAUGGGACAAUUCCCCUUGCCGGACUCCCCCUUCCACACUUGGAAGGGUGAGGCAGUGUGUGUCAUCAAACAAUAGAGCAGAUAAAAGCUGAAUCAGGGUGGUCUCCAGGACACCCCCAUCUCCCCAGACUUCUAUGGUGACAUUUCUUGCACUCCUCAAGUUUGUUCAUGGCUUUGAAAACACAGUUUCAGAAUGUCUUCAUUGUUUCAUACGGUACUGGCCGCGCCUGGAGUUUUCCUGAAGGAAACUGUAGCAGCAGGAAUUUUGUGCAAUACUAUAAUAAGGGGGCUUUAUCCUUCCAAAAAUACAUCCUUUCUCCUUGUUGCCAGCUCUCCCACAGCCCUGUGAAAAAUGUAGCUCAGAAGUUACUGAGGCGUUUUUCUGUUUUUCCUUUCUCACUUUAGUUCAUAUCAAGCAACAGAAAGCAAUUCUAUUAUUCACACUUAGGCGUGCUAGCUUGAAUGAAUGAACAAAUCAAAUAUCAAUCCUUUUCUCAUUUCCCUAGUGUGUAAGAACUGAAAUGUAGAAAGUGGCAUCUGCUUAAAAGGAAUUGGUGAAUUUGACUUCUCUAGGUACCUUAUCCAAGUGGAAUGAGUGUUUAAUGGGCACAGAGUUUCAGUUGGGAAGAUCGAAACGUUCUGGUAGAUGGAUGUUGGUGAUGGUUGCACAACUAUGUGAUUAUACUUAAUGUCAUGGAACUGUACACUUAAAAAUGGUUAAAAUAGUAGAUUUUAUGUUAUGUAUAUUUAAUCACAGUUUAAAGAAAGGAAUUGGUGAUGCAUGUCUAUGCAUGUAAGUUUUGAUAUAUGCUUGCUGAUUGAUUAUUUAUCUAAGGUCUGUUUACAUAUUUUCCCCCAGUAAACUUGGUACUUGCCUCAUUGUCCUGUAUCCUUAUCCUUAAAUUAAUUGGACAAUGCCUCUUUCUUCUUCUCCCUCUUCUUAACUCCAGCAGUCACAUGAAGAUAGAAAUAUAUUUUGUCUUUGGAAGUUACUCUUUUUUAAUUUUUUAAUUUUUGUGGGUACAUACAUAGUAGGUGUAUAUAUCUAUGGGGUACAUAAAAUGCUUUGAAAUAGGUAUGCAAUGCAUAAUAAUUACAUCAUGGAAAAUGGGGUAUCCAUCCCCUCAAAUAUUUAUGUUUCAUGUUAUAAUCCAAUUAUACUCUGGAGUAUACGCUGAGUACUCCAAAUGUACUCAAUAGUACAAUUAAAUUACUACUGACUAUAAUCACCCUGUUGUACUACAAAAUACUAGGUCUUAUGCAUUAUUUCUAACUAAUGUUUUUGUACUCAUUUACCAUUCCCCCUCCCCUUCACAGUCCCCCAUUACCCUUCUCAGCCUGUGGUCACCAUCCUUCUACUCUCUAUGUCCAUGAGUUUGAUUGUUUUGAUUUUUAUUAACAAAUCCUGCAAAUAAGUUAGAAUAUGCAGUGUUUGUCUUUCUGUGCCUG
rnacentral:lncRNA from 10 species